CCUACGUGAGGCAGCAGUGAGGAAUAUUGGUCAAUGGACGAGAGUCUGAAUCAGCCAAGUAGCGUGAAGGAUGACUGCCCUAUGGGUUGUACACUUCUUUUAUAUGGGAAUAAAAUGUUCCACGUGUGGGAUUUUGUAUGUACCAUAUGAAUAAGGAUCGGCUAACUCCGUGCCAGCAGCCGCGGUAAUACGGAGGAUCCGAGCGUUAUCCGGAUUUAUUGGGUUUAAAGGGAGCGUAGGUGGGUUGUUAAGUCAGUUGUGAAAGUGUGCGGCUCAACCGUAAAAUUGCAGUUGAAACUGGCAGUCUUGAGUACAGUAGAGGUGGGCGGAAUUCGUGGUGUAGCGGUGAAAUGCUUAGAUAUCACGAAGAACUCCGAUUGCGAAGGCAGCUCACUGGACUGCAACUGACACUGAGGCUCGAAAGUGUGGGUAUCAAACAGGAUUAGAUACCCUGGUAGUC
rnacentral:rRNA from 1 species